AUUGAACGCUGGCGGCAUGCUUUACACAUGCAAGUCGAACGGUAACAGGGAGCUUGCUCCGCUGACGAGUGGCGAACGGGUGAGUAAUGCGUCGGAACGUGCCGAGUAGUGGGGGAUAACGCAUCGAAAGGUGUGCUAAUACCGCAUACGUACUGAGGUAGAAAGUGGGGGACCUUCGGGCCUCACGCUAUUCGAGCGGCCGACGUCUGAUUAGCUAGUUGGUGAGGUAAAGGCUCACCAAGGCGACGAUCAGUAGCGGGUCUGAGGGGAUGAUCCGCCACACUGGGACUGAGACACGGCCCAGACUCCUACGGGAGGCAGCAGUGGGGAAUUUUGGACAAUGGGCGCAAGCCUGAUCCAGCAAUGCCGCGUGCAGGAAGAAGGCCUUCGGGUUGUAAACUGCUUUUGUACGGAACGAAACGGUCCGGGUUAAUACCCUGGGCUAAUGACGGUACCGUAAGAAUAAGCACCGGCUAACUACGUGCCAGCAGCCGCGGUAACAC
rnacentral:rRNA from 1 species